AUUGAACGCUGGCGGCAGGCCUAACACAUGCAAGUCGAGCGGCAGCGGGAAAGUAGCUUGCUACUUUUGCCGGCGAGCGGCGGACGGGUGGGUAAUGCCUGGGAAAUUGCCCAGUCGAGGGGGAUAACAGUUGGAAACGACUGCUAAUACCGCAUACGCCCUACGGGGGAAAGCAGGGGACCUUCGGGCCUUGCGCGAUUGGAUAUGCCCAGGUGGGAUUAGCUAGUUGGUGAGGUAAUGGCACACCAAGGCGACGAUCCCUAGCUGGUCUGAGAGGAUGAUCACCCCCAGGGGAACUGAGCAAGGGUCCAGACUCCCACGGGGGGCAGCAGUGGGGAAUAUUGCAAAAUGGGGAAACCCCUGAGGAAGCCAGGCCGGGUGUGUGAAGAGGGCCUUCGGUUUGUAAACCACUUUCAGCGAGGAGGAAAGGUUGAUGCCUAAUACGUACAAACUGUGACGUUACUCGCAGAAGAAGCACCGGCUAACUCCGUGCCAGCCGCCGCCGUAA
rnacentral:rRNA from 1 species